AGCUCAGGAUGAGUUUAUUACUGGCUUUUGGCAUCCUCUGUCUGGACUCUGCCAUACCUUGCAAGCAGAAAGAUGCCACGUGAAUUCUGGAGCUACAGAAGUUCUGUGACAUCAGAUGACCACCUCCACUGACUUCCAGCCUUGUGUGUGCACACAGGGCCAAAAGGAGAGUGCACCCACUUCUAGAAGUGUGGGUGUUCAAGGAGAAACUUUUCCAGUGAUUUAAAAAGAUUAGUAAUUGUGGCCAUCUGGGAAAAAUGAAAGGCUGGAACUUGCGAGUGCUGCCUUCCUGAAUUACACGCUCCCCUCCAAUUAUUUUGGAGAAAGAAGAUGUCUGUACUAGACUCAGCAAUACUGCAAGUUUAAGAGUAUUGUAAGUUCCUGGUGGAACAACUUGAGAAGCAAAGAUGUUGGCCAGGAUGGCAGUAAAUCUCCAGCAUGAACUUGAAGUCAGUGAGAGCAG